rnacentral:tRNA from 1 species
GGGGGUUUAGCUCAGUGGUAGAGCAAUUGUUUAGCAUGUACAAGGCCUUGGGUUUGAUUCCCAGUACCAUCA